UAGCGGGAAGAUGAUUCAUCGACUAAUUAAAACAGAUCCUUGUUCUAUCUAAAGUUCGAAAUCGAAUUAAUCGAUUGAAGCAAAACCCUAGAGAAUUGGCGUCUUGGCGAGUGGCAAUGGAGAAAUCGAAUAACAUAUGGCCAAUAAGGGGUUUGGUUCGAUCGGUACUUCUAAAUCAAAUGCCUGGUUGAGACUUGAGUAUCGAUUGACAAUUCACAUUUCAGUAGGCAUUUUGACUUAACUAUUCAAAAUGAAUAUUGAAGUAUUAGACAAUGGACUAUUAGAUCAGUACGUUAAUAUUUACUAGAAAAACUUUUCAUAAUAUAAUAAAGAGUAAACUUCCGUUUUGCUCCCUGUGGUUUGGUAACUUUAACGGUUUUGCCCCAAACCUUUAAAAAUAGCCAUUUUACUCCCUGAUCUAUGAAGCUUAUCUCUAUUUCACUCCCCGCCCCUAACGCCAUCCAUUUCCAACGUUAAAACACAGUCACGUGCCCCUCACAUGAGGGGCAAAUUUGUCUUUUCCCAUCCUCCCUCUUAAGAACUGAUAUCUUGUUGCCUUUUAGAAACCCUAAUUUCUCACCACCAACAACCACCACCACCUACUGUCACUAGCACUAACAGUCGCGACCACCAUCCAUCAACACUAACAACCAGCCAACACAAACGUGGUUCAACUACAAUCACAUAUUUUAGAAACUGAAUUUAUGGGGUAAAUUGGUAUAUUGCGAGUAAAAUAACCAAAAAUCAAAGUUGGAGCAAGAAUCAAUGGGUUCAUGUGUUCAAAUCGGAAGAUGGAUAUGAAGAGAUUUGGGUUUCAAACCAGAUCCGGUCAAAAUCAACUGAUGUGGAGCGACUUCCACAACGGUUUCCUGUGUUCAAAUCGGUGGACUGAUGUGAAACAAUGCGAGGUUCUGCCCAGAUCCACUUAAAUUCGUCGACACUGUUCGUUCAGAAAGAUGAAACUGACUGCCACAAUGGUUUCAUGUGUUCGAAACGGUGGAGCGAUGUGGUGUUCAGCCCGAAGCCACUCAAAAUCGCCUAACAAAGUAACAUAUUUGAGUCUUAUGUAGCACACCAGAAGGAACCCGAAACCAUAAAAAUUUCGAGGUCAUGGAGAAAGUAAGUAACCGGUCUCUCUUAUAUGUGGCACAUCUAGCGGUUCCAUCUUCUCAAGUAAUUGUGAUCAACGCGAACCUAGGAUGUGCCUGUUGUCGAGAAAGAUUUCACAAGAUUAUGACCAGAAUCAAAGGACUAAAAGAGUACACGGUGGAUGUUAGAAAUAGCAAAGUGAUCUUGAGAGGAAACAUGAAAGAUAAUGAUAUUUUGAAGAUCAAAACGGUGAAAAAUCGCUGGCUAAGACAUUUUUUGAUGGGUUGGAUUACCAAAAGUUUUCCUCGAUUUUGGUUUUGAAUUCGAUUGAUUGUAUAUGAUCAUAAUAUUAUUCCUAUAUGAUUUGAAACCCAUGUUGUAAAUAUUACUUUUGGCUUUUGUUGUUAAUACUGCAAUCAAAUCCUGGUCGGGUUUUGAUGUGAGAUUGAA